AUGGUCAGUCUCCCCGCUAUGCCUAGGGACGUCAUCCAGGAGUGGCACAUGAUGUUUCAAGAAGCCAGGUUGCAUCAGCCCUGCCUUUCGCGGUGCUACCUCCCUUGGAGAAGAUUGGCAGAAUGUUCUUCAAUCCAGAAAGGCCGCUCGGAAAGAUUUUCAUCUGGCCUAAAUGAGAAAUACUUCUCAGAGCUGUGUGGGCUUCUCCAAACAUACCUAGAAACUAACAGAUUUCAUGCUCACUUCUGUCACCCAGUAAGCAAUCAUGGGUCACCAAACCAUAAAUCGGCAGUUAAUGGAUUUUCGGCUACAUGCUCUGGCCUUUGGUAUCAUCUUUAAUUUGGUUUUAAUUUGUGUUGAUCUCCCCUUGCUUCUUUGAUCUCCCAGCAUCUUCAGAUUGGAGGAUGCUGCAGUGACCACCUCCCCCCAGUCCUAGACGAUCUGGAGGGAAGGAAGGACACAUGACUUUUCAAACACCAUCUGCUACAAGCGGACGGCAGAGUCUACGAAGAAGAAACGAUAUGUGUUUAGAGGUGGGGGUGAGGAAGAAGCAGACCGAGAGCAGGCUGGAUCUUCUUACGCCAACUCAAUGCAGGAGGAAUCUGUCCCGCGAUUCAUGUGAUGUCGGCCUCUAGAGAAGAACACUGGUAAACGAAGCAGAUCCGCUGCCAGGGUGACACAGAGAGGGACGAGAUGUGGACUGACAAGGUGCCCGAAUAUAUAUUUUUCUGAACUAUGAUGAAUUUUUUUUUUUCCGCGGAGCCAGUAUUCUGACCACUGUCCCACGUUGACACUUUUAUUAUCUGUAGCUCAAUUUCAUGGAGCAGAUUUGGUUUUCUUUUCCGAUCGCAAGAUUCUUUCAAAACAAAUCAGCCUCACUCUCUGGUGGUAGCUUCGUUUUGUUCCUCUUCCUGGGAGGACGUUCCUUGAGGACAGAAUUCAUGUAGCUCUGUGUAGAAUAAAAUCAUUCAUUUUUUUUUUCCCAUGAAGCCUCUUUUUUCAUUCCCCUUGCUUCCACAAAUAACCCAGGCUGCCUUUUUUUUUUUUUUUAUUAUGAGAAUAACAAAAGUAAAUAAAUAAAAGGUGAUAUUUAU